GCUGCUGCUGCAGCUGCUGCAGCUGCUGCAUCUGCAGCAGCAGCAGCAGAGCGCGCAGCUUCUGCAGACG
rnacentral:snoRNA from 1 species